rnacentral:antisense_RNA from 1 species
UGUGAACUGACAAGCCCAUGGAUGUCUACAAAGAGUGAACUGAUCACUGUGGGCUGGCCUUUGAGGCAUCAGUGAGGCAUUGUGGCUCUGGAGACCUGGAAGCACUGCUAACUGUUCUCUCGAUUUUCUGACGCUUGGCCACAUCAACCUGUCAUGCUAGUUGUGAGGAGAAGUCAAGGACAGUGACACAGCCAGCCAGUCUGAGGCAUUUUCCAUCAUCCUGAAGGAGUUGCCCUAUCCUGCUUUUCACUGGAGGGGGCAUAGAUGGGGGCUCUUGACACACUGACCUCUGUCAGUUCCUUCAGCACACCAAGCUAAUCCCCAGUCUUGCGCCUUUGGACCAGAGGUUUUCUUUGCUCAGAAUACUGUUUCAACAGAUCUUUGCAUAGCUGGCUCUCGCUAUUUGACUAAAAUGUCAAUCCUCAGAGAGGUACUCCUUAAAUAUCCAAUCUUAAGUAGCAUCCCUUUCUCCCAGGAUCCUGUUUUUCAGAACUCUGUUUUCUUUUUAAAACACUUGUUAUCUGAAAGGAUGUUGUCUGCUUGCUUGUUUGUUCAUUUCUUUAUUGUCUAUUCCAUCUCACCCCUUCUCAGGAUGUAAGCUGUUUAAAGGCAAGGACCUUAUCUGUGUUACAUGCUGUAUUCCCAGGGCUCAGACAGAGCAUGACCUAU